GCGUGGGGACGAAGAUCCCAGUGGCUGCAGCCUAGUGCACAUAUUCGGUCCAUACGUUUUUUUAAUGUAACCUGCGAUUUUAUUUAAUUUCACAAAAAGUAUUGAUUUUCAAAAGAGCGUAGUUUCUAAACCGUGCAUCAGAUCGGAGUGAGUUAUAUGUGGUUUUUGACUAGAAUUUUGCGUAGAGUAAUAUUUUCCAACUCUCACGUAUAAUUAGAACUGUUUAGUGUGAUGUUUGCAUCGGUUUGCGUGCCGACAUGUUGGAAACGGUUUAGGACGUAACUAUUUGUCCGUAGCUCCGUUGGAGUUGUGCCAUAUAUGUAAAUAGACCACAGCGACGAGUAGAAUCACGUGAACCACUUUGUUUUGGUUUUUAACAAACUUAAAAUGUGAUUAGGACAAAUCUGGACAGAAUUAGAAUUUAACACGUGGGGUCAUUUCGGAGAUGCUAUAUGUCGUUUUCGGCCUCAUUUAAAAUGCCUAGCUAGGUAGAUUAAUUUGUGCUUCACCCCUUGCCAUGUUAAAACCUUUUAAUAUAGCCGUGUACCUGAAUUGGAGUG
rnacentral:lncRNA from 1 species